rnacentral:rRNA from 1 species
GGGUUGUGAGGUUAAGCGACUAAGCGUACACGGUGGAUGCCCUGGCAGUCAGAGGCGAUGAAGGACGUGCUAAUCUGCGAUAAGCGUCGGUAAGGUGAUAUGAACCGUUAUAACCGGCGAUUUCCGAAUGGGGAAACCCAGUGUGUUUCGACACACUAUCAUUAACUGAAUUCAUAGGUUAAUGAGGCGAACCGGGGGAACUGAAACAUCUAAGUACCCCGAGGAAAAGAAAUCAACCGAGAUUCCCCCAGUAGCGGCGAGCGAACGGGGAGCAGCCCAGAGCCUGAAUCAGUGUGUGUGUUAGUGGAAGCGUCUGGAAAGGCGCGCGAUACAGGGUGACAGCCCCGUACACAAAAAUGCACAUGCUGUGAGCUCGAUGAGUAGGGCGGGACACGUGGUAUCCUGUCUGAAUAUGGGGGGACCAUCCUCCAAGGCUAAAUACUCCUGACUGACCGAUAGUGAACCAGUACCGUGAGGGAAAGGCGAAAAGAACCCCGGCGAGGGGAGUGAAAAAGAACCUGAAACCGUGUACGUACAAGCAGUGGGAGCACGCUUAGGCGUGUGACUGCGUACCUUUUGUAUAAUGGGUCAGCGACUUAUAUUCUGUAGCAAGGUUAACCGAAUAGGGGAGCCGAAGGGAAACCGAGUCUUAACUGGGCGUUAAGUUGCAGGGUAUAGACCCGAAACCCGGUGAUCUAGCCAUGGGCAGGUUGAAGGUUGGGUAACACUAACUGGAGGACCGAACCGACUAAUGUUGAAAAAUUAGCGGAUGACUUGUGGCUGGGGGUGAAAGGCCAAUCAAACCGGGAGAUAGCUGGUUCUCCCCGAAAGCUAUUUAGGUAGCGCCUCGUGAAUUCAUCUCCGGGGGUAGAGCACUGUUUCGGCAAGGGGGUCAUCCCGACUUACCAACCCGAUGCAAACUGCGAAUACCGGAGAAUGUUAUCACGGGAGACACACGGCGGGUGCUAACGUCCGUCGUGAAGAGGGAAACAACCCAGACCGCCAGCUAAGGUCCCAAAGUCAUGGUUAAGUGGGAAACGAUGUGGGAAGGCCCAGACAGCCAGGAUGUUGGCUUAGAAGCAGCCAUCAUUUAAAGAAAGCGUAAUAGCUCACUGGUCGAGUCGGCCUGCGCGGAAGAUGUAACGGGGCUAAACCAUGCACCGAAGCUGCGGCAGCGACGCUGAUGCGUUGUUGGGUAGGGGAGCGUUCUGUAAGCCUGCGAAGGUGUGCUGUGAGGCAUGCUGGAGGUAUCAGAAGUGCGAAUGCUGACAUAAGUAACGAUAAAGCGGGUGAAAAGCCCGCUCGCCGGAAGACCAAGGGUUCCUGUCCAACGUUAAUCGGGGCAGGGUGAGUCGACCCCUAAGGCGAGGCCGAAAGGCGUAGUCGAUGGGAAACAGGUUAAUAUUCCUGUACUUGGUGUUACUGCGAAGGGGGGACGGAGAAGGCUAUGUUGGCCGGGCGACGGUUGUCCCGGUUUAAGCGUGUAGGCUGGUUUUCCAGGCAAAUCCGGAAAAUCAAGGCUGAGGCGUGAUGACGAGGCACUACGGUGCUGAAGCAACAAAUGCCCUGCUUCCAGGAAAAGCCUCUAAGCAUCAGGUAACAUCAAAUCGUACCCCAAACCGACACAGGUGGUCAGGUAGAGAAUACCAAGGCGCUUGAGAGAACUCGGGUGAAGGAACUAGGCAAAAUGGUGCCGUAACUUCGGGAGAAGGCACGCUGAUAUGUAGGUGAGGUCCCUUGCGGAUGGAGCUGAAAUCAGUCGAAGAUACCAGCUGGCUGCAACUGUUUAUUAAAAACACAGCACUGUGCAAACACGAAAGUGGACGUAUACGGUGUGACGCCUGCCCGGUGCCGGAAGGUUAAUUGAUGGGGUCAGCGCAAGCGAAGCUCUUGAUCGAAGCCCCGGUAAACGGCGGCCGUAACUAUAACGGUCCUAAGGUAGCGAAAUUCCUUGUCGGGUAAGUUCCGACCUGCACGAAUGGCGUAAUGAUGGCCAGGCUGUCUCCACCCGAGACUCAGUGAAAUUGAACUCGCUGUGAAGAUGCAGUGUACCCGCGGCAAGACGGAAAGACCCCGUGAACCUUUACUAUAGCUUGACACUGAACAUUGAGCCUUGAUGUGUAGGAUAGGUGGGAGGCUUAGAAGUGUGGACGCCAGUCUGCAUGGAGCCGACCUUGAAAUACCACCCUUUAAUGUUUGAUGUUCUAACGUUGACCCGUGAUCCGGGUUGCGGACAGUGUCUGGUGGGUAGUUUGACUGGGGCGGUCUCCUCCUAAAGAGUAACGGAGGAGCACGAAGGUUGGCUAAUCCUGGUCGGACAUCAGGAGGUUAGUGCAAUGGCAUAAGCCAGCUUGACUGCGAGCGUGACGGCGCGAGCAGGUGCGAAAGCAGGUCAUAGUGAUCCGGUGGUUCUGAAUGGAAGGGCCAUCGCUCAACGGAUAAAAGGUACUCCGGGGAUAACAGGCUGAUACCGCCCAAGAGUUCAUAUCGACGGCGGUGUUUGGCACCUCGAUGUCGGCUCAUCACAUCCUGGGGCUGAAGUAGGUCCCAAGGGUAUGGCUGUUCGCCAUUUAAAGUGGUACGCGAGCUGGGUUUAGAACGUCGUGAGACAGUUCGGUCCCUAUCUGCCGUGGGCGCUGGAGAACUGAGGGGGGCUGCUCCUAGUACGAGAGGACCGGAGUGGACGCAUCACUGGUGUUCGGGUUGUCAUGCCAAUGGCACUGCCCGGUAGCUAAAUGCGGAAGAGAUAAGUGCUGAAAGCAUCUAAGCACGAAACUUGCCCCGAGAUGAGUUCUCCCUGACCCUUUAAGGGUCCUGAAGGAACGUUGAAGACGACGACGUUGAUAGGCCGGGUGUGUAAGCGCAGCGAUGCGUUGAGCUAACCGGUACUAAUGAACCGUGAGGCUUAACCUUACAACGCCGAAGCUGUU